rnacentral:misc_RNA from 1 species
CAUUGGCGAAAUUUAAGGAAUUAAUUGACUUUGCUAGGCGAAAGAGCUGUUUGUAUAUCCCCCGGCGUGACUUUGAGGGCUAACGCUUUGAGGGGUCCAAUCAGAUGUAAUAGGAAUUGUAUCAAAAUCCGUGAUGCCGCUGACAUCAGGGCCGGUCGCCGACGGCCACACGAAAGCCGGCUUGAAAGGUGGGACACGGGGCACUGCCACUGAUCCUGAUAUCAUCUGAAAGAUUUCAUGUGUUUUAGGCCUCUCGCUAGCAAUAGGAUGGGAGCAUGCCAGCCCAAGCAACAGCAGCCUUUGGGCUUCCUCAACAUCGUAAUUAUUGCCAAGCCUC